AUCCCUGAAUAUCAGAAAUUAUGAAUAUCGGGAUGGUAUAAUGCGCAUGUCAUUGUAGGCCAAGUCAAACAAGAAAUGACAAAUUUUUGAGGUUAUAGUCUAUGUUUAUUGAUUCUUAAAGCAACUUACACAUUAGGAUAAUAUUUAAUGUGUCAAUUGACAGUUCGCGGGAAUUUUACCAUCUCAAGACAUCUGUGAAUGUCAUUGCGUAGUCUUUUUCCACGUGUGUACAUACAUUGGUUAAUCAUGAAGUACCGUUCAAGUAGUUACAAAGUCCAUGAGAGAGAAAAAUAUGAGUUUCAAUGCCGAUGGAUCCAAGGAAAUUGCUGAUUUGGAAUUGAAACAAUUCAUCGACGUUGUAUCUGCUAAUCAGAAGUUUCAGGGUCUAGUACAUAGCCUGACAGAAAUUUGUUGGGACAC